GAGAAUAGGGAUUUCCAAAAGUCGGAGGUGGAGUGGGAAAUUGUGCACACUGCAUUUUGGUUUAAUCCUCUUUAGAAGUACACCUUCAAGAUCCUUUCACACAUUCGUUAUUCUCAAAAGAGGGGAAAGGCUUGUUCUUAAGUACUGUGCGCUGUGUGACACGUAAGGAGGAGGUCGGGUCAGCAUGCACCGCACAGCCCAUCAUCUCCGCGAAUUGCAUUUAAGUAACAGGGUUAGCUGUUUCGUGUCUUAAAAUACUCUUUUGGGGGCAGAAAAGAGAAGAGCCCAAGCAGGGGGCAAGAGGCAUAUAUCGUACUGUCCCUGGACCUCCCGCGGCAAGAGAAACCCAAACCUCGGGUCGGCCCCGUCUGCCGAAGGCCCGGCCCACCCUCGGGGUCCCACACACCCACGAGACCCCCUCGCACCUCCGGGUGGCGGCGGCGGUGGCGGCGGCUCCCGCGUCAGGAGAACCCUACAAAAUGGCGACGGCCGUUCGAGCCUCGGCGCGACCGGGCCCUUCCUCGCGCGCCAGCUCACGCACGCGCGAGGGCGCGCUGCUUCCGUCCCUCCGCCUCGCCGGAGCCGGGUGACCAAUCCCGUGGCCGCACACAAAUGGCUGCCCCGGCCUCGGCUCCCAACCGCCCCAACACGGGGGCGGGGCCUGCCGGAGACGGCGGUGCGCGCGGAGGUUGGCCCGCCCCCAGCCCGGGCUAGCCAAUCCCCACCCUGGAAGGGGUCGAGCGUCAGAAGGGUUCGGGACGCAACCACUGCCGAGUUCCUGGUCCGUGGUGAGCACACCAAAGGAAUACCUCGUACAGCGGCCCGGAGAGGUUCCUUGUUUUGGGGGUGUGGGACAUGAUCUCCACGUCCACCCCAAGCUGUUGGAGGACUAGGCAACCGUGAGUCCCCAGGCACUUUCUAGUAUUCAAAAUUCAGCUGUGGUCCAAGGGCACCUCCUGGUGGCAAAAGGGAAGCUAUUAGGUGUAUUACUCACUGUCACCCUUGAACAAAGGAUAGACUUUUAUAGAGAUUGAUGCACUGUUUAUCUCCGAGUAAAGCCUGCCAGGGUGUUGUCAGUCAUCAUUUCUCAGUGUGUUGGCUCCAUAGAAUCUUCUGUGAUGCCAUCAAGCACAGAUUCCCUAGGCUGCCCUCUUCCUCCCCAACUACUAUGAUGUUUCUUUCCCUAAAUUCUUUGUUUCCCAGUAGAGGCACUGUCCUUAACAACUGUAAUAACUCAUGCUUGUCUCUUACCUGAUUCUCUCCCCUUCCCUAAUAAUGUUGGUCAUUCCCGGUUUCUCUCUACACUCGAACUUUUAAGGCAUGUAUAGGGACAUACUACCCGAUUUAUGAAAGCACUUUCACUCAUCUUCACUGUUGUUGUUUUCGAAGUUGGGUUUCUUCCCUGUGUUUCAGGACAGACUUCACAAGUGGAGAGUCUGAACCUGCUAUCACCCACCUUCAUACACUGUAUUUUGGGUUCUAUUCUCUCCAAUUCCCAAAAGUUUCUGAGGUCAUCUAAUGUCCUUUUAACAGUUUUCACCCUUGUGAAAUUUUCAUGUCAUUCAUCAUCCGUUUCUCCUCUGUUCCUUCUCAUAGCUCUGGCAGCCCUGUUCCAUCUCCUUUCCCCGAUUUCCCUAUUCUUAUUUAUCCCUUUUAUUUCCUUUCCCCUUCCUUCAUAGGCAACCAUUAUAAUGAAUUUAAUUUGCAUUUUACUUUGUGUUCUUCCAAGACAUGUCUUUUUAGUGUGCAUUUACUUUUUUCGAUUAAAAAAAAUGUUUUAUUGUGGAAAUUUUCAAAAAGGGACAAAUGGAGAAUAUUAUUAUGAACUCCUAUGGACUCUUUACUCAGCUUUGACAAUUAUCAACAUUUUGCUUAUCUUGUUUCAUCUAUCCCCUUUAUUUUUUGGCUGGAGUUUUAAAAAGCAAAUCCCAAAUAUAAUGUAAUUUUCCCCAUAAAGUCUUCACAAUCUGCCUCUAAUUGAAACCUCCGUGCUAUACUAAUAUCUAAUAUUUAUAUUAAACUUUCCCUCAGACUGUUGCAAGUAUGCCUGUUUACAGCUGGUUUCUUUUAAUAGGUGUCUAAACAAGGUCUGCCAAUUGUGUACUUAGGUACUUCAUUUAUGGAAAUCUUUAUGUAAAUUGUGUUGUUUAGCUAAUUGGUUCUUUUCUCACUAAGUGCUCUGUUGCUAUGUUACAUCUAACCACUGAGUGAUCUCCACAGUAUACAACCAGCGCAUGUUAGGUGUCAUGUCUGAGAGAGUUGCCUCCAAGUCCCCAGAUAUAAACUAGGUUGCAGUUAACAUCCUUAUGGUAAUUAUAUUUGCCCUAAUAGAUCCCUGUGAGAAUUUGGGAGAUAUAACCCAGGGUUGGAAGUGCUAGGCUGCUGGGCCGUAGGGUAUCCAUCCAUAGGACUAACUUGUCUAAGUAGUGCCCGGUUCUUCUCUAGAAAAACCACCAAGGUACCCUCUCACCUGCAGCACAUGAGGGACCCUGUCUGUCAAUGUUUGACAUCCAGUUCCCUAAUUUUUUACAGCUUAAUAGGUAUAAAGUGAUAUAUCACAGUUGCUUUAAUUUGCAUUUCUCUGCUUGCUAGUGAUUUUAAGCAUCUCUUCUUGUUUUUUGCAUUUACUUUUUUGGAAAUUUCCUGUUCAUAUCUUUUGCCCAUCUUUCUUGUUUGGUUGUAGUCUCCUUUUUUGUUGUUGAUGUGCAGGAUUUUCUUGUACGUUCCAGGUACUAAUCUCUUACUGGUUUCAAGUAUCUCCCCUUAUUCCACCAAAUUAUUAAUUUUGUCCAUGGUGUCCUUCAAUGAAUAGAAACCCUUAAUUUUGUGCUUUUGGAGUUUUGUAUAGGAUGUCCUUUUCUAUACCUCUGAGUCACAAAUAUAUUCUCCUACAUUUUCUUCUAUUAACAUUAAUGAUUUUACCUUUCACAUUUAGGUCUGUAGUCCAUCUAGAGCAGUGCUGUCCAAACAGAAAUAUAAUAGGAGCCACAUUAAAACUUUCUAGUAACACACUUAAAAAGUAAAAUGAAGCAGUUGAAAUUAACUUUCUUUUGAAACCCAAUAUAGCUAAAAUAUUUCAACAUGUAAUCUGUAUUAAAAUUGUUGAGAUACAAAGUUUUUUUCCCCCUCUUCAGUCUUUGAAAUCUGGCAAGGAUUUCAUACUUACAGCACAUUUUGGACUAGCCACCUUUCAAGUGCUUGUAGCUACUGUAUUGGAUAGCACAAGUCUGGAGCUCACCCUUGUGGGUUGGGAAAGUUAAGAAUGCAAACAUAUUUUUCUCUAAAUGACUAAUCCAUUUUUCUCUGUUCAUAUUUCCCCCUUGAUUUUUGGUACCUGCUUUAUCAUAUUUUUGUAUGCUAAUCUGUCCCCAGUCUUUCACUACUCUAUUCCACCCUGUCAUUGUUCCUGGGACUUUUCUUCCACUCAUGUCUGAGGGUGUCUCCCUGACCUUAUGCUUCCUUCUUUUGUGUCCUGUCCUUGAGGAUUUAUGCCCUCAGAUUGCUUCAGCUGCCAUGUACGUAGAUGACGCCCAAACCACAUUUUCAUUACCUCUCCACACACAUGACCAACUCAUUCUGCAGGAUCAUGUCACUGGGCUGCCCUACUUACACUUACGUUUCACAUGUUAAAAUGAUAAUUUCUGCAUUAACUUUUCACCCCAUAUACAUUUCCUUCUAAAAUUUCUAAUUUAUUUCUCCCCCAACCCCAGGUUUGCCACCUUAAGUAUAAAUACCCAGGUUCCCUGAACACUCCACAGAGUAUGACUUUUUCUUCCUUCAUUCAGUGGGUAUUUUACAGUUGUACUUGAAGAAUAAGAGAAGGCUGUAAUACUGAUGUAUUAUUCUAUUUUGUCCCAUGAUGGAUCGUUUAGUUACAUUUAUCCAAUUGUUUAUUGUGGAAUACUUCUGAAUCUGCUUUUCUCAAGCGAAAGGGAUAAUUAUUCUGUGGGCUAUUGGAUCUACUAGAUCCUAUGUUUGGAGACCAUCUGGGGCUGUGUUAUGCUGGUCCUGACUCUGUCUUUGUCAUGGCUGAUGAUAGUCAGGGGUCUGCUCAGCCAGGGCCGUUGGCCAAUUAUGCUAAAGAUGGGGUAGAUCCGAAGAUUUUCUCUAUGCCCUGAAAAGAAAUGGUUGCUUGUGGAAAACAAUAAAAUAACACGGCUUUUCUGCAGGAGGUCACCAAGGCAAAUACUAUUGCCCUGAAACCUCCAAUUGCCAAGCCGGAGACAAGGAGAAAAGCCACCUGUUCCCUUUUUUUAUAUUUCACUAGAUCUCAAAAACAUACUCCUGUGUGUGUGUAGUGGGGUGUGGGGGGGCUUCCUAGGGUCCAUGUCAUUCUAUUGGUCAAUAGACUGGAACUUGUCACUUAUCUGAUUCCUAUCUGAUCUUCUGUAUUAUACAGACAGCAGGCGGGGCAGGAAUCAGCUGCUAUGUGCUCCACUCUCCACUGUGAGCCUGAGCAGUGGCUGAGGCUUGGCUGUGCGCUUCACUUCAGUCUUUCAUUUUUGAACACAGAAUCGUGGGUGAAUAAAGUUGUGUACCAGGAAAGUAGCCAUUCACUGCCUUUUAACAUUAAUACUGCUUAUAACAUCAUCCUGACCUAUAGUGAAUUUCUUAGGUCUAAAAAGAGGCUUGACGUGGGUCAACCCAGCAAACUGGAGGUCAUUAUCAUGGGGAAAUGAGGCCAGGGU